rnacentral:tRNA from 1 species
AGUGGCUCAGUGGUAGAGUGCUUGCCUUGCAUGCAUGAGGCCUUGGGUUCGAUUCCUCAGCACUA